rnacentral:rRNA from 1 species
GUGAGGAAUAUUGGACAAUGGGCGAGAGCCUGAACCAGCCAAGUCGCGUGAAGGAAGAAGGAUCUAUGGUUCGUAAACUUCUUUUGCAGGGGAAUAAAGUGCAGGACGUGUCCUGUUUUGUAUGUACCCUGAGAAUAAGGAUCGGCUAACUCCGUGCCAGCAGCCGCGGUAAUACGGAGGAUCCGAGCGUUAUCCGGAUUUAUUGGGUUUAAAGGGUGCGUAGGUGGUUUGAUAAGUCAGCGGUGAAAGUUUGCAGCUUAACUGUAAAAAUGCCGUUGAAACUGUCGGACUUGAGUGUAAAUGAGGUAGGCGGAAUGCGUGGUGUAGCGGUGAAAUGCAUAGAUAUCACGCAGAACUCCGAUUCCGAAGGCAGCUUACUAAGCUACAACUGACACUGAAGCACGAAAGCGUGGGGAUCAAACAGGAUUAGAAACCCGGGUAGUCC